rnacentral:rRNA from 1 species
GCAAGGAGUAAAGGGUCAAUAGUGGAUGCCUAGGAGCUGAUUGCGAAGAAGGUUGUGGCAAGCUGCUAAAAGGCUCGGGUAGCUGCACGCAAGCUAUGAUCCGGGCAUUACCGAAUGGGGCAACCCACCAUUUGCUGAACAAGCGGAUGGUACUGGGCCUAUUAUAUAGGCUCGGGGCGGAACCGGGCGAAUUGAAACAUCUUAGUAGCCCGAGGAAAAGAAAUCAAACAGAGAUUCCCUGAGUAGUGGUGAGCGAAAGGGGAGUAGCCCAAACCUAUAGAGUGUUAAAGGGUCGUACCGUUGCUUUAUAGGGGUUGUAGCCUCUCAUGAUGUAAGCAUACGACUGCUUAUGCACAUUUCUUGUAUUAUAGGGGAACAACCUGGGAAGGUUGGCCAGAGAAGGUGAAAGUCCUGUACCUGAAAUGGUACAAGAGAUGUGAGUGGGAGUGCUGAGUACCAUGGGACUCGUGUAAUCCUGUGGGAAUCCGGGUGGACCAUCAUCCAAGGCUAAAUAUUAAUCAGCUACCGAUAGUGAACGAGUACCGUGAGGGAAAGGUGAAAAGAACCCCGGAAGGGGAGUGAAAUAGAACCUGAAACUAUUGACUUACAAGCUGUAGGAGCUGAGCCCAUCACCGAGGAUAUUUUAAGAAAGUGAGUCAUCAAACGAGCAAAGAGUGACGAACGGACCAAAGAGUAUCUUCCGUGAUGGGCUUGGUGACUGCGUGCCUUUUGCAUAAUGAGCCGGCGAGUUAUUCUACCGUGCGAGGUUAAGGGGUUGUAGCCCUGAAGCCGAAGGGAAACCGAGUCUGAUAAGGGCGAUUUAGUACGAUGGAAUAGACCCGAAGCCGCGUGAUCUAUCCAUGAGCAGGUUGAAGCGUGGGUAAUACCAUGUGGAGGACCGAACUGGUUGCGGUUAAAAACGCAUCGGAUGACUUGUGGAUAGGGGUGAAAGGCUAAACAAACGUGGCGAUAGCUGGUUCUCCUCGAAAUGCCUUUAGGGGCAGCCUCACGUAGUAACUGAUGGUAGUAGAGCACUGGAAGGGCUAGGGCGGGGAAACCCGUACCAAACCCUACUAAACUCCGAAGGCCAUCAGUGUAAUCGUGGGAGUGAGACUGUGGGGGAUAAGCUUCAUAGUCGAGAGGGAAAGAGCCCAGACCGUUAUCUAAGGUCUCUAAAGCAUUGCUAAGUGGGAAAGGAUGUGCCGAUGCCAGGACAGCCAGGAGGUUUGCUUAGAAGCAGCAAUCCUUAAAAGAGUGCGUAAUAGCUCACUGGUCGAGCAUUGGUGCGCCGAAGAUAUAACGGGGCUAAAGCAAUGUACCGAAGGUACGGCAUUACUCUUUUUGGAGUGAAGAGUAUUGGGUAGAGGAGCGUUCUGGAAGCUGACGAAGGUGUGCCGUGAGGCAUGCUGGAGGCAACAGAAGUGAGAAUGCCGGCAUGAGUAGCGAUAAAGCAGAUGAGAAAUCUGCUCGCCGUAAGUCCAAGGAUUCCUGGGUAAAGCAGAUCUUCCCAGGGUUAGUCGGGUCCUAAGGUGAGGCCGAAAGGCGUAGCUGAUGGAAAACAGGUUAAUAUUCCUGUACCAGCGAAUGACCGUUAAUACCGAUGCGGUGACGCAGAGGGUAAAUCCAAGCAGACUGAUGGAUGUCUGUCUAACUUUGUAGGGGUUAUGUGAGGCAAAUCCUUGCAUUAUAAAUCCCUGAUGAAGGACGGGGACUGUGCAGCGAUGCAUGGGAACUUGGAGGAGCCGUACUGCCAAGAAAGAGCCGCUCAGGGAGGUUAUUUGUUGCCCGUACCGGAAACCGACACAGGUGGACGAGGGUAGUACCCAAAGGCGCACAAGAGAACCCCUGUUAAGGAACUCGGCAAAAUGCACGUGUAACUUCGGGAUAAGCGUGGCCUCAAGUAGGUGAUGGGGAGAAACCGAAGCUGAAAGAGGUUGCAAAAAAGAGGCUCUGGCGACUGUUUACCAAAAACACAGAUCUCUGCUAAGACUUAAGUCUAAGUAUAGGGAUUGAGACCUGCCCGGUGCCAGAAGGUUAAAGAAGGGGGUCAACGGGGUAACCCGUGAAGCUCUUGACUGAAGCCCUGGUAAACGGCGGCUGUAACUAUAACAGUCCUAAGGUAGCGAAAUUCCUUGUCGGGUAAGUUCCGACCUGCAUGAAUGGUAUAACGACUGGAGCGCUGUCUCAACAGGGGACUUGGUGAAAUUGAAGUAUCGGUGCAAAUACCGAUUACCCGCAGCUAGACGGUAAGACCCUGUGAACCUUUACUGUACCCUGGCAUUGUAUUCUGGCACGUUCUGUGUAGGAUAGGUGGGAGGCUAUGAAGCGUGGGCGCCAGCUUGCGUGGAGCCAACCUUGAAAUACCACCCUUAACGUGUCGGACUACUAACGGAUGCUGUGGAAGCAUCUAGACAGUGUCAGGCGGGCAGUUUGACUGGGGCGGUCACCUCCCAAAGUGUAACGGAGGUGUACGAAGGUUCCCUCGAGCUGUAUAGAAAUCAGCUGAAAGAGCGUAAAGGUAUAAGGGAGCUUGACUGCGAGAGAGACAUCUCGAGCAGGGACGAAAGUCGGUCUUAGUGAUCCGGUGGUUUUUGUAUGGAAAAGCCAUCGCUUAACGGACAAAAGGUACUCCGGGGAUAACAGGCUGAUACCGCCCAAGAGUUCACAUCGACGGCGGUGUUUGGCACCUCGAUGUCGGCUCAACUCAUCCUGGGGCUGAAGUAGGUCCCAAGGGUUCGGCUGUUCGCCGAUUAAAGAGUUACGUGAGCUGGGUUCAGAACGUCGUGAGACAGUUCGGUCCCUAUCUACUGUGGGCGCUGGAUAUUUGAGGGGAGCUGUUCCUAGUACGAGAGGAUCGGAAUGGACGUACCUCUGGUGCACCAGUUGUCGUGCCAACGGCACAGCUGGGUAGCUAUGUACGGAAGGGAUAACCACUGAAAGCAUCUAAGUGGGAAGCCUCCCCCAAGAUUAGAUAUCCCUUAAGGUUCCAGGUAGACUACCUGGUUGAUAGGUCGCAGGUGUAAGUACAGUAAUGUAUUCAGCCGAGCGAUACUAAUAAACCGUUUGACUUGCCCCU